GUCGAACGAUGAUGCCCAGCUUGCUGGGUGGAUUAGUGGCGAACGGGNGAGUAACACGUGAGUAACCUGCCCCUGACUCUGGGAUAAGCGUUGSAAACGACGUCUAAUACUGGAUAUGAUCACUGGCCGCAUGGUCUGGUGGUGGAAAGAUUUUUUGGUUGGGGAUGGACUCGCGGCCUAUCAGCUUGUUGGUGAGGUAAUGGCUCACCAAGGCGACGACGGGUAGCCGGCCUGAGAGGGUGACCGGCCACACUGGGACUGAGACACGGCCCAGACUCCUACGGGAGGCAGCAGUGGGGAAUAUUGCACAAUGGGCGAAAGCCUGAUGCAGCAACGCCGCGUGAGGGAUGACGGCCUUCGGGUUGUAAACCUCUUUUAGUAGGGAAGAAGCGAAAGUGACGGUACCUGCAGAAAAAGCACCGGCUAACUACGUGCCAGCAGCCGCGGUAAUACGUAGGGUGCAAGCGUUGUCCGGAAUUAUUGGGCGUAAAGAGCUCGUAGGCGGUUUGUCGCGUCUGCUGUGAAAUCCCGAGGCUCAACCUCGGGCUUGCAGUGGGUACGGGCAGACUAGAGUGCGGUAGGGGAGAUUGGAAUUCCUGGUGUAGCGGUGGAAUGCGCAGAUAUCAGGAGGAACACCGAUGGCGAAGGCAGAUCUCUGGGCCGUAACUGACGCUGAGGAGCGAAAGCAUGGGGAGCGAACAGGAUUAGAUACC
rnacentral:rRNA from 1 species